rnacentral:rRNA from 1 species
UACGGAGGAUGCGAGCGUUAUCCGGAUUUAUUGGGUUUAAAGGGUUCGUAGGCGGCUUUAUAAGUCAGCGGUGAAAUACCAGAGCUUAACUCUGGGGCUGCCGUUGAUACUGUUAAGCUUGAGUAGGAUCGACGAUGGCGGAAUGAGACAAGUAGCGGUGAAAUGCAUAGAUAUGUCUCAGAACACCGAUAGCGUAGGCAGCUGUCGAGGUCAUCUACUGACGCUGAGGAACGAAAGCGUGGGGAUCAAACAGGAUUAGAUACCCUGGUAGUCCACGCCGUAAACGAUGAUAACUGGAUGUUCGGUAUUUAUAUCGAGCGUCUGAGGGAAACCAUUAAGUUAUCCACCUGGGGAGUACGUUCGCAAGAAUG